rnacentral:rRNA from 1 species
ACUCCUGCGGGAGGCAGCAGUGGGGAAUAUUGGACAAUGGGCGCAAGCCUGAUCCAGCCAUGCCGCGUGAGUGAUGAAGGCCCUAGGGUUGUAAAGCUCUUUCACCGGAGAAGAUAAUGACGGUAUCCGGAGAAGAAGCCCCGGCUAACUUCGUGCCAGCAGCCGCGGUAAUACGAAGGGGGCUAGCGUUGUUCGGAAUUACUGGGCGUAAAGCGCACGUAGGCGGAUCGAUCAGUCAGGGGUGAAAUCCCAGGGCUCAACCCUGGAACUGCCUUUGAUACUGUCGAUCUGGAGUAUGGAAGAGGUGAGUGGAAUUCCGAGUGUAGAGGUGAAAUUCGUAGAUAUUCGGAGGAACACCAGUGGCGAAGGCGGCUCACUGGUCCAUUACUGACGCUGAGGUGCGAAAGCGUGGGGAGCAAACAGGAUUAGAAACCCUUGUAGUCCCA